rnacentral:ncRNA from 1 species
AACUGAGUUUGUGAUCGGUCUGAGAGUCAUAUUGUUUAAUUAUCACAAAGGAGCAUUUUAAAUGUUAACAGUAGAACAGAAAGCAAAGAUCGUUGCUGAAUUUGGUCGUA